rnacentral:rRNA from 1 species
GACGAACGCUGGCGGCGUGCCUAAUACAUGCAAGUUGAGCGAUGAAGAUUGGUGCUUGCACCAAUUUGAAGAGCAGCGAACGGGUGAGUAACGCGUGGGGAAUCUGCCUUUGAGCGGGGGACAACAUUUGGAAACGAAUGCUAAUACCGCAUAAUAACUUUAAACAUAAGUUUUAAGUUUGAAAGAUGCAAUUGCAUCACUCAAAGAUGAUCCCGCGUUGUAUUAGCUAGUUGGUGAGGUAAAGGCUCACCAAGGCGAUGAUACAUAGCCGACCUGAGAGGGUGAUCGGCCACAUUGGGACUGGGACACGGCCCAAACUCCUACGGGAGGCAGCAGUAGGGAAUCUUCGGCAAUGGACGAAAGUCUGACCGAGCAACGCCGCGUGAGGGAAGAAGGUUUUCGGAUCGUAAAACUCUGUUGGUAGAGAAGAACGUUGGUGAGAGUGGAAAGCUCAUCAAGUGACGGUAACUACCCAGAAAGGGACGGCUAACUACGUG